rnacentral:rRNA from 1 species
UACAGAGGUCUCAAGCGUUGUUCGGAUUCAUUGGGCGUAAAGGGUGCGUAGGUGGCGUCGUAAGUCGGGCGUGAAAUUUCGGAGCUUAACUCCGAAACUGCAUUCGAUACUGCGGUGCUUGAGGACUGGAGAGGAGACUGGAAUUUACGGUGUAGCAGUGAAAUGCGUAGAGAUCGUAAGGAAGACCAGUGGCGAAGGCGGGUCUCUGGGCCGAUACUGACGCUGAGGAGCGAAAGCGUGGGGAGCGAACAGG